rnacentral:lncRNA from 1 species
CACAGAUAACAAAUUGUGUCCGCUGCAGCAAGAUGGCCGAUCUGGGCCGGCAGCGCUAGCUAGACCUUCCAGUAGCUGCCGCCAGACCUCCGUCAGACGCCGCAGGAACAAGUCAGAGAUCUGUGCUGCCCGACUAGACCGCCUACUUCACUUAUACAAGCCCCACCACCACCACCGUCAUCAUGCCUGAUCCAUGCUGUGAAGGUGAAUGCAAGGGUGACAGCAACGACUGCUGUGCUGACGGCAAGUGUAGUACCGACAACAAAGACUGCGAGUGUGCUCGAAAGGACUCCAAGAAAGAACAUUGUACCGAGGGAUGCAACUGUCGUGAUGAGGAUGGCAAGUGUCAGUGUGAGGGCAAGUGCUCUUGUUAACGGACCUCCACUCAUCAUGGCCCCCAGACGUCUUUCGGUUCAGCGCCCCCCAUCUGUUGAACAUGAUGAUGCCUCCUGAAAUCUGUUGAUGAUGCCUCCUGAAAUCUGUUGAUGAUGCCUCCUGAAAUCUGUUGAUGAUGCCUCCUGAAACCUGUUGAUGAUGCCUCCUGGUAUCGACUGGACUUGUGAUGCUUCCUGAAUCCUGUUGAUGAUGCCGCCUCCUGGACUCCUGACACGCACAUAUGCACCCGUGUGUGCACUCAUACUUCACACUAACACGCAUAUACACGUCCGCAUACACUCACAUAUUCGCACUUACACUCAAUUUUCCACCUUCAAUAUCUCUUACAGCCUAAACCGACCACCAAGAAUACAACGCAUACAGCGUCACAAUAACAAACGCAUUAUCACUAAUACAACAUAUUUUCGCGUUUUAAAUUGCAGUUUUGGUUUCAUCCCUCGAGGCUUCUCCAUUGUUUAUUUCACCAUUCGUUUGAUUAAUAUGGAUAAUUAUAGUAACAUCAAAACCAAGCAGAUGUUUUAAUUAGUUCAUCUGAAAGUCAAGCAAUACUGUACUUGUACUUUAUACUUGCUUUCAGUAAUUAACUCCUAACUUCAGCAUUCGACUAAUAUUUCUGAAUAAAAAAGAAUGAAUGCAA